rnacentral:rRNA from 1 species
UGAAUACGAGAUGCUACGGCGUCGAAGCAGUCUAUGUCAUACUUCCAAGAAAAGCUUGCACUGUCAUAAACAAAUAAUGCCUGUACCAUAACCGACACAGGUGGGUAGGUAGAGUAUACUAAGGGGCGCGAGAUAACUCUCUCUAAGGAACUCGGCAAAAUGACUCCGUAACUUCGAGAGAAGGAGUGCCUUAUUUAUAAGGUUGCAAUAACAAGAUCCAAGCAACUGUUUACCAAAAACACAGGUCUCCGCUAAGUCGUAAGACGAUGUAUGGGGGCUGACGCCUGCCCAGUGCCAGAAGGUUAAAGAAGUUGGUUAGCAUCCGCGAAGCUGAUAACUGAAGCCCUGGUGAACGGCGGCCGUAACAAUAACGGUCCUAAGGUAGCGAAAUUCCUUGUCGAGUAAGUUCCGACCCGCACGAAAGGCGUAAUGAUUUGGAUACUGUCUCGGAGAGGGGCUCGGUGAAAUAGACUUGUCUGUGAAGAUGCGGACUACCUGCACCAGGACAGAAAGACCCUAUGAAGCUUUACUGUAACCUGAAAUUGAAAUUGGACUUUACUUGCGCAGUAUAGGUGGGAGGCGUUGAGAAUAUUCUUGCGGGAUUAUUGGAGCCAUCAGUGAGAUACCACUCUUGUAAUGUUAGAUUUCUAACUUUGUAUCAUUAUCUGGUCAAAGAACAGUUUCAGGCGGCAGUUUGACUGGGGCGGUCGCCUCCUAAACGGUAACGGAGGCGCACAAAGGUUUCCUCUGAACGGGUAGAAAUCGUAUCUAGAGUGUAAAGGCAUAAGGAAGCUUGACUGUGAGACCUACAAGUCGAGCAGGGACGAAAGUCGGUCUUAGUGAUCUGACGGUGCUGAGUGGAAAGGCCGUCACUCAACGGAUAAAAGUUACUCUAGGAUAACAGGCUGAUCUCCCCCAAGAGUUCACAUCGACGGGGAGGUUUGGCACCUCGAUGUCGGCUCAUCGCAUCCUGGGGCGGUAGUACGUCCCAAGAGUUGGGCUGUUCGCCCAUGAAAGCGGUACGCGAGCUGGGUUCAGAACGUCGUGAGACAGUUCGGUCCAUAUCCGGUGUAGGCGUUAGAAUAUUGAGAGGAGCCUUCUUUAGUACGAGAGGACCGAGAAGGACAUACCUCUGGUGUACCAGUUAUCGUGCCAACGGUAAACGCUGGGUAGCUAUGUGUGGAGUGGAUAACCGCUGAAAGCAUCUAAGUGGGAAGCCCACCUCAAGAUAAGUAUUCUC